CUACGUUCUUUUACGUUCAGAAUUCAUGUGUUCAGAAAUAUUUCAACUGCUUAUUUUGUAACAUUUUUAAGUUUGAACACUGAUCUAUAUCGUCUGACUACUGUUUAUUUGUUGUUUUUCCUUUUUUUUCAGAAAAAUGAGAGGAGAAAAAUGAGAGGAGAAAAAUGAGAGGAGG